AUCCUUUUCUGGUUCAUAAACAUUAUGAUCCAGUGUUCGCAUGUUUGUCUGACAUGUGCCUCCCUUAAAUCUUGAUACAUAGUUGAUACAUUACUCAUCUGAUG